UACGUAGGGGGCAAGCGUUGUCCGGAUUUAUUGGGCGUAAAGAGCUCGUAGGCGGUCUGUCACGUCGGCUGUGAAAUCCCGAGGCUCAACCUCGGGUCUGCAGUCGAUACGGGCAAACUAGAGUAUUGCAGGGGAGACUGGAAUUCCUGGUGUAGCGGUGAAAUGCGCAGAUAUCAGGAGGAACACCGGUGGCGAAGGCGGUUCUCUGGGCCUGUACUGACGCUGAGGAGCGAAAGCGUGGGGAGCAAACAGG
rnacentral:rRNA from 1 species